AUGGAUUGGUGGUCCCAAAAUAGAAUGCAUGAUUGGGGCGGGUCUGUAAGAAGAGCUUCUUCUAGAACGAACCUUUAAUCAUGACGAACAAGUAAUCAAGAUUACCUUUAUUGGAAGAUCUUCUCGAACGCAUGCUUAAGAUUACGUGAAUGUGGUACAUACCAUAACAUAUUUUUUUAUUUAAAGGAAUUGGAGGAACGGUACCCACUAACAUGGUGCUGGUGAUAUAUGCUUGUAAAAUAUUUUUUUUUAUUUCUCAUUUUGUCUGCGUAUGAUGAUCAUCUUGCACUUGGUGGCUAGUUAUAGUAUCCAAGCUACUUUCAUUUUAAAUCAUUAAGGUCUUCUUUCUAUCUUGACUGCUGGGGAAUCUGAAGUCUGAAAAUUAAGGAUUAAGGUUUUCUUAUUUUUACUUUAUUAAUAUUGUUUUAUUUGCAGGUGAAAAGCUGCUUAAGACCAACUGUAAGAUAUAUGUGUCCUCAAUGGAGUUGGGAUUUUUUCUGCAUAAAUCAUUUAUUUAUGUUAUGCAGGCCCUUUCUAUACAUAGUUGAAUUUAUAGUUUAAUUAGUUUGGUUGAGAAUGUGGAAGUCUACUUUUGGUUGCUUUUGCAGGGGAAUGAAAGUGUCUUUGUUGGUGAAGGGUAGGUGAGAGAAAUGAAAGGUGUGUUGGGUUGAAUAGGUAUAGGAUCAAUGAGCAACAACAAAGCACGAAAGGUGGUGUGUGUGACGGGUGCUUCUAUAUUAAUCUUUUCUAUUAUUAGAAUUUUUCUCUUUUCUAUUAUUUUAUUAGAUUUUUAUUUUUAUUUUUUAAAAAAAGACAUUUUAAAAUGAUUUUUUUGAAAAAUCAUGUUAGAAGGACACUUUUUUUAGAUGAUUUUUUGAAACCUAUCUAAAAUUAAAGACUAUCAACAUUAUUUAUAUGUUGUUUAAAAUUGUCAUGUUUUUUUUGCUGUAGUGAAUC
rnacentral:lncRNA from 1 species